rnacentral:antisense_RNA from 1 species
GGAUUCUUAGGAGAACCAUACAGGAAUAAGCUCAUGGUUUCGACUUUGUUGGUUCUCUAGCAGGACGCGGGUGUCCUCAAGGUCACAGCCAAUGCACCCACAGACUUUACCUACCCUGCCUCAACUUGAUGACCCCCUGAGCCACCAGAUAACUCAUAUCCCCACCAGCCGACAUGAUCAGAAGGGAUAUGUGAGGAUUAGCCACAGAGCAGCCAAAAUGACACACCUAGAAAAUCUGACCCGGAAUCCCAAGUGACAAGCCUUAAAGGUUAAAGCAGCAAAUGGCACUUUGCAUGGACUGAAUCAAUACCGGAAUGCACACGGCCUUAAACAAACAAAAUCAAGACUCUUGCAUCUUCCUACAGGAAACACUCUCCCAAAUGUCCUAGUUUAGAUCUGGGAAAGAGCACGCAAGUCAGCGCACUGGCUUUGAAGAAAUGGCCUCAUUAAAGAAUUGCUUUAAAUAAGCAAAACUCUGAGUUAAUGAAGCCUGUAAUUCUAAAUUCAGUAUUUGAAGGCAAAUGGGAUGUUUUCUUACAUUCUGCUGCUCAGAAAAGGUUGCAGUUUUAUUACUUUUUAAUGUAGCAUAAAUAUCCCCCUUCCUUAGGGAAACUGACUCAACUUUAUAAUUUGUUAUUAAAGAACUGGGCUGCUUUCCUGCAGUUGUCC